rnacentral:rRNA from 1 species
CGCAUCUGUGCAUGCAGCAUAUCAAUAAGCGGAGGAAAAGAAACUAACAAGGAUUCCCCUAGUAACGGCGAGUGAAGCGGGAAGAGCUCAAAUUUGAAAUCUUAAAGGGUUUCCCUUUACGAAUUGUAGUUUAAAGAAGUGUUUUCUGUUGAGGUUUGGUAAAAGUUCUUUGGAAUAGGACAUCAUAGAGGGUGAGAAUCCCGUAUUUGACCUUUACUUUCAACUUUGUGAUACACUUUCAAAGAGUCGGAUUGUUUGGGAAUGCAGUCCAAAAUGGGUGGUAAAUUUCAUCUAAAGCUAAAUAUUGGCGAGAGACCGAUAGCGAACAAGUACCGUGAGGGAAAGAUGAAAAGAACUUUGAAAAGAGAGUUAAACAGUACGUGAAAUUGUCAAAAGGGAAGCGUUUGACACCAGUGUUGUUUUUCUGAAAAUCAAUUAAAGAACUGUUUAUGCUAAGCUGUUUAGACUUUAUCAGCUAUCUGUUUAGUUUUGAGCUUUUCUUUAAUGCACUUUUCAGUUAACAAGUCAACAUCAACUUCUUUUGCUGUAAAAAAGCUGAGGAAGGUGGCUUGAGAUUCGUCUUAAGUGUUUAUAGCCUCUUGCCUAUGCAGUCGGAGAGAUUGAGGUCUGCAGCGUAGAUCCUUCGGGGCUAAAUGCAUUUGUGCUAAGUUAUAGCAUUUUAUAGACAACUUGUUGACUAUGAUUUGUCUUGUAGCUUACUCGCUUAUGUUAUUUUACCUACGCUUAGGAUGUUGAGUCGUAGAGCACGCAG